rnacentral:rRNA from 1 species
CAGUAGCCGCGGUAAUACGAAGGGGGCUAGCGUUGUUCGGAUUUACUGGGCGUAAAGCGCACGUAGGCGGAUGAUUAAGUCAGGGGUGAAAUCCCGAGGCUCAACCUCGGAACUGCCUUUGAUACUGGUCAUCUUGAGUCCGGGAGAGGUGAGUGGAACUGCGAGUGUAGAGGUGAAAUUCGUAGAUAUUCGCAAGAACACCAGUGGCGAAGGCGGCUCACUGGCCCGGUACUGACGCUGAGGUGCGAAAGCGUGGGGAGCAAACAGGAUUAGAUACCCCAGUAGUCCCUGUCUCUUAUAC